UACGUAGGGUGCGAGCGUUAAUCGGAAUUACUGGGCGUAAAGCGUGCGCAGGCGGUUCGCUGUGUCCGAUGUGAAAGCCCCGGGCUUAACCUGGGAAUGGCAUUGGAAACUGGCGGGCUUGAGUGCGGCAGAGGGGGGUGGAAUUCCGCGUGUAGCAGUGAAAUGCGUAGAGAUGCGGAGGAACACCGAUGGCGAAGGCAGCCCCCUGGGUCGACACUGACGCUCAGGCACGAAAGCGUGGGGAGCAAACGGG
rnacentral:rRNA from 1 species